rnacentral:rRNA from 1 species
GAUGAACGCUGGCGGCGUGCCUAAUACAUGCAAGUCGAGCGAAUGGAUUAAGAGCUUGCUCUUAUGAAGUUAGCGGCGGACGGGUGAGUAACACGUGGGUAACCUGCCCAUAAGACUGGGAUAACUCCGGGAAACCGGGGCUAAUACCGGAUAACAUUUUGAACCGCAUGGUUCGAAAUUGAAAGGCGGCUUCUGCUGUCACUUAUGGAUGGACCCGCGUCGCAUUAGCUAGUUGGUGAGGUAACGGCUCACCAGGGCAACGAUGCGUAGCCGACCUGAGAGGGUGAUCGGCCACACUGGGACUGAGACACGGCCCAGACUCCUACGGGAGGCAGCAGUAGGGAAUCUUCCGCAAUGGACGAAAGUCUGACGGAGCAACGCCGCGUGAGUGAUGAAGGCUUUCGGGUCGUAAAACUCUGUUGUUAGGGAAGAACAAGUGCUAGUUGAAUAAGCUGGCACCUUGACGGUACCUAACCAGAAAGCCACGGCUAACUACGUGCCAGCAGCCGCCGUAA